rnacentral:rRNA from 1 species
AUUGAACGCUGGCGGCAUGCUUUACACAUGCAAGUCGAACGGCAGCGCGGGCUUCGGCCUGGCGGCGAGUGGCGAACGGGUGAGUAAUACAUCGGAACGUGCCCCGUAGUGGGGGAUAGCUCGGCGAAAGCCGGAUUAAUACCGCAUACGAACUGCGGGUGAAAGCGGGGGAUCUUCGGACCUCGCGCUAUUGGAGCGGCCGAUGGCCGAUUUGCUAGUUGGUGGGGUAAAGGCCUACCAAGGCGACGAUCUGUAGCUGGUCUGAGAGGAUGACCAGCCACACUGGGACUGAGACACGGCCCAGACUCCUACGGGAGGCAGCAGUGGGGAAUUUUGGACAAUGGGCGAAAGCCUGAUCCAGCAAUGCCGCGUGUGUGAUGAAGGCCUUCGGGUUGUAAAGCACUUUUGGCGGGAACGAAAAGGACUGUGCCAAUACCACGGUUCGAUGACGGUACCCGCAGAAUAAGCACCGGCUAACUACGUG